AGGGAGACAUCCAACGAUACCACACUCGACCUCCCACCUCACCCUGUGCAUGGGUGGUGGAGGACAACUUUGGAAUCCAAUGGGAACUCCCAUUUUUUAUUGCAGAUUACAUCCCGCCAGUGCUGGAGGAGCUUGACCAGCAGCUAGAGAUGGAGAGGGCGCAGGCACAACUCGAUUAUGAUCAUGGUUCCAUGCAUAGGGAGGGGAGCACAAAGGGUGGCGUGCAAGGUGGGGGACAAAUGGCGGCCGCUCCAGAAAACCAUCAAAUUAUCGAGCUUUUAGAGGAGGAGGAGGAGCUCGAUCUGCCUGAGUAGGUGGGAGACCUGGUUGAAUGUGGCAAUGAGUUGCUCAAAACCAUGGAGCCAGAGCAGAGAACGUGAAUAGUUUUGAA